UAAUUGUAUGCUGACUAUAUUAUUAUUUCGUAAAAAGACAUCUGGUAACGGCGACAGUUCGUAACGAUACAUUUACAUAUUCGUAACAGUACAAUUUGUAACGCUGAAAUGAAAUAAUUAUUCUUGCGAUUUCGUUCGUUGUAAUCCGUGACUGCUCUCGGUGUAUAAUCCUGGUUCAUGUAUCCCCUGAUAAGUGGCUAAGAAGCCCCAGGGGCGUUAUUUCAUAGGGUCAGGGGGAAAUGUACCGCGUGAGCAGAUGGGAUCUGAAUUAUAAAAUUCCCUCAACUUCCGCAUGGCUUGCAUUUUUAGAAACUUUCUUCUUCUUAAGGUGCCGAGAACGUUUGUCGAUCGUUGGCUCUCAUGUUGCCCACCAUAUUAACAAUCAUUGUGUUAUUUACAGCCGCACGAAAUACAAGAAUCUACAGGUCGAGCAAGUCUCGUAAAUUUCACGAUUGCGAGCCACGCUUCACGCAACCGUGUUUGCGUACUUGUGUUUCGAGUUGCGUGGUCGUGCGGAGUUAUAUUUACCAAAUUUGAAUAUAAUCGUUUCUACUGAUUCAUAAUAAUAUAUGUCAAUAUGGCUACUGGGUGUAAAAUAUAAAUCUUAUUCUAUCUGUUCUUAAUGAGUUUUAGAUAAUUUUAGUUGUAUUUCUUUGUAAUUUUGUGUUGUACAAAGAUUAAUUUAACAUUUUCUCCGGAAGUAUUAAUUUAGAAAGAUAAUAUGCUUCAUUGGUGUUGUGUUUUGAAGUGUGAAAUGCAAAGUAAUUGUGAUAAAGUCAAGAUAAAGUUCACUUUUAAACUGAACUAAAUAAGGUAUCUGAGAGACAACAAUGGUUAAAUGCAAUACAAUGUACAGGUUUUACUAGCGAAAUGAAAAUUUUCCUGUCCUGUCUGCUGUAAUCAUUUUAUAUCUGGAAAACCAGCCGACUUAAUCGAUAAUAACAAUCUCCAGAUUGGGUUCCUUCAAUAAAUAUGGGCUAUAAACACAAUGAAAUAAGUUCCCCAAAAUCUAAAAUGGAGUGGUAUUAAAGGAGAAUUAAAGGAAAAAAUAUUCAUAUUGAAAUUAUUUAUAAGGCACUGGACUGUCUUAAAUUCUACAAUAAUACUAGAAUCACCUGAGAGAAGUGGUCUACAAAAAACCAGGAAGGAAACGGAAUAUGUGGCUACGAAAGGCAAAAGAAAGGUUUACAAAGCAAAUGUGACACAUUUUUUUGAAAUAUU